GACGAACGCUGGCGGCGUGCUUAACACAUGCAAGUCGAACGGAAAGGCCCUGCUUUUGUGGGGUGCUCGAGUGGCGAACGGGUGAGUAACACGUGAGUAACCUGCCCUUGACUUUGGGAUAACUUCAGGAAACUGGGGCUAAUACCGGAUAGGAGCUCCUGCUGCAUGGUGGGGGUUGGAAAGUUUCGGCGGUUGGGGAUGGACUCGCGGCUUAUCAGCUUGUUGGUGGGGUAGUGGCUUACCAAGGCUUUGACGGGUAGCCGGCCUGAGAGGGUGACCGGCCACAUUGGGACUGAGAUACGGCCCAGACCCCUACGGGAGGCAGCAGUGGGGAAUAUUGCACAAUGGGCGGAAGCCUGAUGCAGCAACGCCGCGUGCGGGAUGACGGCCUUCGGGUUGUAAACCGCUUUCGCCUGUGACGAAGCGUGAGUGACGGUAAUGUGUAAAGAAGCACCGGCUAACUACGUG
rnacentral:rRNA from 1 species